rnacentral:rRNA from 1 species
UACGAAGGGGGCUAGCGUUGCUCGGAAUCACUGGGCGUAAAGGGUGCGUAGGCGGGUCUUUAAGUCUGUCGUGAAAGCCCCGGGCUCAACCUGGGAAUUGCAUUUGAGACUGCGUAGCUAGGGUGCGGAAGAGGGAAGCGGAAUUUCCGGUGUAGCGGUGAAAUGCGUAGAUAUCGGAAGGAACACCAGUGGCGAAAGCGGCUUCCUGGUCCAGCACCGACGUUCAGGCACGAAAGCGUGGGGAGCAAACAGG